rnacentral:rRNA from 1 species
UACGGGGGGGGCAAGCGUUGUUCGGAAUUACUGGGCGUAAAGGGCUCGUAGGCGGCCAACUAAGUCAGACGUGAAAUCCCCCGGCUUAACCAGGGAACUGCGUCUGAUACUGGAUGGCUUGAGUUUGGGAGAGGGAUGCGGAAUUCCAGGUGUAGCGGUGAAAUGCGUAGAUAUCAGGAGGAACACCAAUGGCGAAGGCAGCUCGCUGGAACGGUACUGACGCUGAGGCGCGAAAGCGUGGGGAGCGAACAGG